rnacentral:rRNA from 1 species
AGAGGGUGAUCGGCCACAUUGGGACUGAGAUACGGCCCAGACUCCUACGGGAGGCAGCAGUAGGGAACUUUGCGCAAUGGACGAAAGUCUGACGCAGCAACGCCGCGUGAGGGAUGACGGCCUUCGGGUUGUAAACCUCUGUUGAGUGGGAAGAAAAGCUUUGUGGUUAAUAUCCACAGAGUCUGACGGUACCACUCGAGGAAGCUCCGGCUAACUACGUGCCAGCAGCCGCGGUAAUACGUAGGGGGCUAGCGUUGUUCGGAAUCACUGGGCGUAAAGGGAGUGUAGGCGGACCGGUAAGUUGGGAGUUAAAUGUACGGGCUCAACCCGUGAUCUGCUUUUAAUACUGUCGGUCUUGAGUAUGGGAGAGGGAGAUGGAAUUCCAGGUGUAACGGUGGAAUGCGUAGAUAUCUGGAAGAACACCAGUUGCGAAGGCGGUCUCCUGGACCAAUACUGACGCUGAUGCUCGAAAGCUGGGGGAGCGAACAGGAUUAGAUACCCUGGUAGUCCCAGCCGUAAACGAUGGACACUAGUUGCCGGAGGAGUCAAUCCCUUCGGUGACGAAGCUAACGCAUUAAGUGUCCCGCCUGGGGAGUACGCUCGCAAGGGUGAAACUCAAAGGAAUUGACGGGGGCCCGCACAAGCGGUGGAGCAUGUGCCUUAAUUCGAUGCAACGCGAAGAACCUUACCUGGGUUUGACAUGGGGGUGAAAGUUUCCAGAGAUGGAAGCCUUUCCUUCGGGAACACCCCACACAGGUGCUGCAUGGUUGUCGUCAGCUCGUGUCGUGAGAUGUUGGGUUAAGUCCCGCAACGAGCGCAACCCCUGCCCUUAGUUGCCAUCAGGUAAAGCUGGGAACUCUAAGGGGACAGCUUGGUAUAACCAGGAGGAAGGUGGGGAUGACGUCAAAUCAUCAUGGCUCUUACGCCCAGGGCUAGACACGUGCUACAAUGGCAGGUACAGUGGGAUGCCAGCCUGCGAAGGUGAGCUAAUCCCUUAAAACCUGUCUCAGUCCGGAUUGGAGUCUGCAACUCGACUCCAUGAAGUUGGAAUCGCUAGUAAUCGCGGAUCAGCAUGCCGCGGUGAAUACGUUCCCGGGCAUUGUACACACCGCCCGUCAAGCCAUGAAAGGCGGUAGUACCCGAAGUCGCGUACCCAACCAUAAGGAGGGAAGCG